rnacentral:snRNA from 1 species
AUCGCUUCUUGGCCUUUUGACUAAGAUCAAGUGUAGUAUCUUUCUCUCUCUGUCCCUCCCUGCUACUGCUUCCUCCCGCACUCUCUCUCAAAAUAAAUAAACUUAAAAAAAAUUCUUAAGAAAAAAUAAUUAACAUUGCAUCUCAGCGCUUUCUUUGUGAACGUUUGCCUACUUAACCAUGCUUUGUAGAGGGAAAGAGGACUGAUU